AGGUCUGACCUGCCCACUGAAAUUAUUUUAAAUGGCCGCAGUAAUUUGACUGUGCAAAGGUAGCAUAAUCAUUAGUUUUUUAAUUAAAAGCUUGUAUGAAGGGUUGGACGAGAUAAAAUCUGUCUCUAUUUAAUUUAUUAUAAAAUUUAAUUUUUAAGUUAAAAAGCUUAAAUUUUUUUAAAAGACGAGAAGACCCUAUAGAUCUUUAUAGUUUUGAUUUUGAAUUUAAUUAAUAAAUUUUUAGGAUUUAUGAUUUAAACUAUUUUAUUGGGGUAAUAGAAAGAUUAAAAUAAUUCUUUUUUUCUUUAAACAUUUAUUUAUGUUUUUAAUGAUCCAAUUUUAUUGAUUAUAAGAUUAAGUUACCUUAGGGAUAACAGCGUAAUUUUUUUAGAGAGUUCUUAUCGAUAAAAAAGUUUGCGACCUCGAUGUUGGAUUAAAGAUUAGUUUAGGUGUAGAAGUUUAAAUUUUUGGUCUGUUCGACCAUUAAAUCUUUACAUGAUCUGAGUUCAGACCGGCGUAAGCCAGGUCGGUUUCUAUCUUUAAUAAUUUUAAAAUAUUUUAGUACGAAAGGACCAAAUAUUUAAUAUAUUUAUAUUUAAUUUUUUGAAUAUUAUU
rnacentral:rRNA from 1 species